GCCCUCGUAGCUCAGUGGAUAGAGCACCGGUUUCCUAAACCGGGUGUCGCAGGUCCGAUUCCUGCCGAGGGCA
rnacentral:tRNA from 1 species